rnacentral:piRNA from 1 species
UACUCCAAUUCCAGCUAUUUG